GCCGGGUUGGUGGAAUAGGUGAGACACGGAUGCCUCAAAAGCAUCUGUCCGAAAGGACAUGCGGGUUCGAGUCCCGCACCCGGCA
rnacentral:tRNA from 1 species